rnacentral:rRNA from 1 species
AUUGAACGCUGGCGGCAGGCUUAACACAUGCAAGUCGAGCGGGGUGAUGGUGCUUGCACUAUCACUUAGCGGCGGACGGGUGAGUAAUGCUUAGGAAUCUGCCUAUUAGUGGGGGACAACAUCUCGAAAGGGAUGAUAAUACCGCAUACGUCCUACGGGAGAAAGCAGGGGAUCACUUGUGACCUUGCGCUAAUAGAUGAGUCUAAGUCGGAUUAGCUAGUUGGUGGGGUAAAGGCCUACCAAGGCGACGAUCUGUAGCGGGUCUGAGAGGAUGAUCCGCCACACUGGGACUGAGACACGGCCCAGACUCCUACGGGAGGCAGCAGUGGGGAAUAUUGGACAAUGGGGGGAACCCUGAUCCAGCCAUGCCGCGUGUGUGAAGAAGGCCUUAUGGUUGUAAAGCACUUUAAGCGAGGAGGAGGCUCUUUUGGUUAAUACCCAGAAUGAGUGGACGUUACUCGCAGAAUAAGCACCGGCUAACUCUGUGCCAGCCGCCGCAGUAAGAC